rnacentral:hammerhead_ribozyme from 1 species
AUUCAGCUGACAAGUUCCAGACAGGACGAAACGUGCGUCCUGGAU